rnacentral:sRNA from 1 species
AUUUUCUUCUAUUUUUAUUAUU